UGGCUCAGUUGGUUAGAGCAUAGUGCUAAUAAUGCCAAGGUUGUGGGUUUAAUUCCCAU
rnacentral:tRNA from 1 species